rnacentral:rRNA from 1 species
UACAGAGGGUGCGAGCGUUAAUCGGAAUUACUGGGCGUAAAGCGCGCGUAGGUGGUUUGUUAAGUUGGAUGUGAAAUCCCCGGGCUCAACCUGGGAACUGCAUUCAAAACUGACAAGCUAGAGUAUGGUAGAGGGUGGUGGAAUUUCCUGUGUAGCGGUGAAAUGCGUAGAUAUCGGAAGGAACAUCAGUGGCGAAAGCGGCUUCCUGGACCAGAACUGACGAUCAGGCUCGAAAGCGUGGGGAGCAAACAGG